CCUACGGGAGGCAGCAGUGAGGAAUAUUGGUCAAUGGGCGCGAGCCUGAACCAGCCAAGUCGCGUGAGGGAAGACGGUCCUAUGGAUUGUAAACCUCUUUUGUCGGGGAGCAAAAGACGCCACGCGUGGCGUUCCGAGAGUACCCGAAGAAAAAGCAUCGGCUAACUCCGUGCCAGCAGCCGCGGUAAUACGGGGGAUGCGAGCGUUAUCCGGAUUUAUUGGGUUUAAAGGGUGCGCAGGCGGAAGAUCAAGUCAGCGGUAAAAUUGAGAGGCUCAACCUCUUCGAGCCGUUGAAACUGGUUUUCUUGAGUGAGUGAGAAGUAUGCGGAAUGCGUGGUGUAGCGGUGAAAUGCAUAGAUAUCACGCAGAACUCCGAUUGCGAAGGCGACUAUCUGGCACAUAACUGACGCUGAGGAGCGAAAGCGUGGGUAGCAAACAGGAUUAGAUACCCUUGUAGUC
rnacentral:rRNA from 1 species